rnacentral:tRNA from 1 species
GGUGGCUCAGUGGUAGAGUGCUUGCCUUGCAUGCAUGAGGCUCUGGGUUCAAUUCCCCAGCACCA